rnacentral:rRNA from 1 species
GGAAUAUUGCACAAUGGGCGAAAGCCUGAUGCAGCGACGCCGCGUGAGGGAUGACGGCCUUCGGGUUGUAAACCUCUUUCAGUAGGGAAGAAGCGAAAGUGACGGUACCUGCAGAAGAAGCGCCGGCUAACUACGUGCCAGCAGCCGCGGUAAUACGUAGGGCGCAAGCGUUAUCCGGAAUUAUUGGGCGUAAAGAGCUCGUAGGCGGUUUGUCGCGUCUGCCGUGAAAGUCCGAGGCUCAACUUCGGAUCUGCGGUGGGUACGGGCAGACUAGAGUGAUGUAGGGGAGACUGGAAUUCCUGGUGUAGCGGUGAAAUGCGCAGAUAUCAGGAGGAACACCGAUGGCGAAGGCAGGUCUCUGGGCAUCUACUGACGCUGAGGAGCGAAAGCAUGGGGAGCGAACAGGAUUAGAUACCCCUG